AACACGCUUCCCAACUGUUGCUCCGAUGGUCACGCCCAAGCCAACGCCGUUUGCCGCCGCAGCCCACCUACAGCGCCUGUGCUUCGACUUGAUGAAGGGGUGAAUGUGUGCGGGUGUCUUCUGCUGCCUGCUCAGCCUUCGGCUCAUGACACCAGCUGGACAGAACCCAGGUUAUCCCGUGUUUGCCGUCGGACCACGUCCACUCCGUCAGGGUCGUGUUCACCAAAUUUCAACAUCCCAUAAUACCGGGGGCUAAGGUUUUUACUGGAAGUGAGAGAUGAUGACUGCAGAUCCCCCAGUAUUUGGUCCAAUAUUACUGUCUGGUCAUUGAUAAAGUCCUGUAGAGGUUUGAGAAACACAUGGAUGUGGUUUUAACUGAUGAUCCUCCAGAGUUUCUUUGACACUCAAAUUUGAAAUGGCUGUGGGAAUGACACAGGGAACAACAAUGGUGAGGCAGGUUAUCUUGAAUAUUCUGGACGAUUUGGGAGAAGACGAAUUUAAAUGCUUCAAAUUAUAUCUGUGGGACCAUGGCAUCCUCAAAGAAAAAAAAACCCAUCCCAAAUGUACAUCUGGAGGUGGCAUACAGGUUGAAAACUGUGAAUCUGAUGUUGCAGGCCUAUAAACCUGCUGAAGUUCUGCAGUUGACAACAGAGUUUUUAAUAAAUAUCAACAGGAAUGAUCUUUUGCAGAUCUGCAGCUCAUCACCAAAAGGUCAGUAACAGGAUGCAGUAUAUUAAAAAUGGAUAUAGUGCAAGCUAUUUUGGUUUGACUUAUGCUUUUUUACUCUGCCCUGCACCAAAACAGCAGAUCUAAGAAGAGAAACAGACUGCUGUUUGAAUUUGUAGAAUUGUUGUAUUUGUAUUUAUAAAUGAUGGACACAACAGGAAACACGUCUUCAGCCAUGUUAGCAGCUUUGUGAAGCUGUACUUAGGUACAACAGUGCUUUGACCUUAUGGUGACAUAAGCAUGGCAACAUGUUCACAAUGACAAUGUUAGCAUGAUGAUGUUCAGAACAUAAUGUUCCCCUUCUGAGUUUAGCGAGUUAACAUGCUAACAUUUGCUUGUCACCGAUGUCAAGAGGCAUGUUUUAAAUCUGUUUGUUCAAGGACAUUACGUCUCCACAUUGUGGGAUGUGAAAUGGGGAAAAACAGAGAUAAAUAAACUGAAGUAAGUUAUGAAACCUAGAAUUACAGGCAUUUGGAGCCUGUCAAGUUCAUGGAAACAAAAUAUGCAAAGCAGUUACAGCAGUUAAAUUAUUGUUAUUAUUAUUAGAAAAUCCUGAUGUUUUCUUCAGCUUAAAUAGAAGAAGCAGUGUAGUAUUUUUGUUUUAAGGGACAUAAUGUAUCCUCAGUCUGCCUGUAUCUGUGGAGCAGUGCUUGAGUUAAGUCUGUGCCAUAAAAUAUUGAUGAAAAUCACGAACAAAGGUUACACUAAAAAAAACCUGAUUAAAGUAAUAAUGAUAACCAAAAUGCAUACGCUCAAAUUGACAAACUAUCAAAAUGUAAUAAUAGCAUUUGCUUUUUGAUAAAAGGUUAUGUGUAUUGUCAUUACUUGAUAUGUUCGUGUGUGUUUGUAUGAUAGCUAUUGUUAACAUACAUGUUGUCUCCCAUAGACAUCGACUGUGACACAAAUACAGAGAUAAAUCAUGAAAAAUGUUAAAUAUAUGAAAUAGAAGCACCAUGUAUAGAUACAUACACACACAUACACACACACUCAGAGAGAGAGAGAUAUGAGUGAUGCACAUGUUUUAUGUGUAUAAUUUAGUAUUGAAUUAACUACAGUUCUCAAAAGGCAAGUGAGAAUGAGUGAAACUUAGACCAACUUACACAUUUAACAUGUGCAUCUGUGAUUCUGCAAUUUUAAACACACUGUGUUGAACUUGUGCUGACAUGCAAGCAAUCAACUUGUGAAUCAGAGAGCUCUGUAUUACGUGUGGAGGAUACAGAACAACCAGAAACUUUGAUAUGCUCACAGUGUGCACAUUGGUUGUGUUUACUGUGGCUGGUUGACAUGUACACCAAAGUGAAGCAGACCAACCCAAAUUAAACCUGGUACAUUGUGAUUAAUAAGUAUCAUGUGCCUCGUAAUCACUAGACCGCCAGGAUGACCUUAAAAGGUACUGAAGGGUCUUUUUGCAUUGUUGGAGGGGUCACUGCUAAGAAAAAUUAUGAAACAAGACUAGCAUAUCAUGAGCUCUGAUCCAUGACUUAAACUAAAUUUAAAUACCAAAAAGUAGUGUCCUUCUAUCCUGAGUGACAUGCUUAUAAAGUUGGAUCUUAUCCCCCGAAAAGAACAAGUUUUCCUCUGCCCCUGCCUAGUGAAUAAUACAAUGUAUAGUGUAAUGUAUUAUACAAUGUAUAAUAUACUGCUGUGCAGUACACUAUAAUAAAAUAACAAUAAAUUCAUAAAUUAUUAAACUGUUCAAAGAAGACAGUAGAUCAAUAUGUAUAAUAUGCAUGUGUGUAUUACUGUAUAUAUGUAUUUUAUAAAUGUAAUAGCAAUA